UUAUUGUUUGUGUAUAAAACAGGAAAGAUGUAUGUUGAGGGGGACUAGGCAAAGAAGGUCAGGUUUCCAGAGGGAACUAGUUUGGCAUGACACUUGGAGCUCAGGAAUGCAACAUGGUUCCAACUGCUACUUGACAAAUGCAGGCCUCUCAAUGGAUCACACUGGCCUCUGAACAUGCUCAGUAAAGAUCUUUCCUACAACUCUACCUACCUGCUGCCUCGCUGAUUGCUAGUGAAAAAUUCCCCUUUAGGUCUUCUGUUUGUUUGGAACGUUUCAAUGUAUUUCUACUUCCGCUGGACUUGAGCUUACACUGCCAGCGAGAGAAUGCUGGGAAUCCCCCAGUUCUCCGGCUCAGUUGCAACAGGGAUGCUGAAGCAGAAUGUCAAAAUGAGCCGCAGUGACGGAAACCUGCCAGACGCGGCACCGGCAUCACCUUGGUUAGUAUUACAUAAGGUGAAGGACAAGCUCCUGAUUAAAAAGAGGGAGGAAAAGUUGAUAUAUAGAGGGAAUAUAUCACAACUUCCUAUUCAGGGAGCUAAGAGAGCUGUUUAUUUUGCUGACCUGGCAUUCCUAACCUGAUGGGAUUGAAGCAGGAAAUGAACUUGUAGGAAGAACCUUGCAAACGUGACUGUGUGACCCAUCUGCAGUGUUUCACGGUAUCAUUGUCUGGGGACAGCAGUAGAAACCACUUCAGAUACUAAAGCACAGACAUUCCAUUGCUUUGCUUCUGGCUUUAGGACUUUCAGUGCAUACAGACAGUCUCUCCGGAAUAUCCCCCUGGAUUUCAUCGGGCUUUCAGCAUUCCGAUCAGGCGGCAGAAGCAUUUGUUAGCACAGCUCCAUGUCAUUCUUUGCUCUAUCCCAACAAUGGUUUCUUGGAAGCCCUCCAUGACACGUGGUGAACUUUGGAUGCCAUAAAAAAGAAGCAGUGCUUUUCCACCGCAGUCUCCUGUGGUUUCCUUGGCAAUCCAUUACUGUCAGACUGCAGAAAGAAGGCCGUGAAGAAUAAUUAUACAUAUUUAUCUGCUGUGCAAUGGAAUGAAAACAAAAGGAUAAAAACAAAUGUCAAAAUACUGAAUUUCCCAGAGGAAGGAAUUGUGUUUUCUGAACAGCUCUACUGAUGAGUUGCUAUUCAUACCAUGUGAUUGGUUUGUAUCCUAAUAGGAUGGCCUACGUGGAUUUAUAAACUCAGGCCACCUUUCUAGCCCCUGUUAAACAAGAUGCUUAUGCAGAUGCUUAAUCCGCAGCACCUGAGGAAUAUCCCAUUGAUUUCAGUGUUGAACUGGUACCUCUGUUUGUGAAGUAGUUCUCCAUGAACAGAGCCAUAAGGGACGUCUGGAACUGACUCAUCUCAUCAGCAGUUUGUCUGAAGGCUCAGCCCGAGAAGUAACCUGCCUUGCCCGUUCCAAGUGAAGCCCUCCCAGUCUGGGCCAUCAGCUGGCUUCCACCUGCAAUCAGCAUCGGAUAUUAAACUCAGCUGGAAUACCUACUCGCUCCGUCUCUGCAGACGUAGUUAAGUUAAUACAGCAAAUACUACCUGACUUUUCUAUUUUUGUGUGUGAUCUUUUGCAUUGUACUGUAUUCUGAAUGGCAUCAAUCUAAGCCCCUUGGUGGAGGGUCUUUUAUAAACUCCUCAUUAUUAUUAUUUAUUAUGGCAGAGAAGGACAAGAGAGGAUAUUGUCAUCUUUUAAGUAAUGGAGAUGCUCCGAUAUUAUGGUAGUGAGACCCAUAUGUGAGAGAGAGAUCCCUGUCCAUAGACAAAAAGAUAGAUGGGUGUAUAUGGAGAGAGAUGAAUAGGGGGAUGGAUUAAUGCACAGAUAGAUUAGAUAGAGAGGCAUAUAUGGGGAUGGAUAGAUAGAUCUGAUGAAUACGGUAUAUAUGAGCAGGGGCAGCUCUAGCUUUUUUGCCACCCCACGCACGGCAGGCAG